UACGGGGGGGGCAAGCGUUGUUCGGAAUUACUGGGCGUAAAGGGCUCGUAGGUGGCCAACUAAGUCGGACGUGAAAUCCCUCGGCUUAACCGGGGAACUGCGUCCGAUACUGGUUGGCUUGAGUUUGGGAGAGGGAUGCGGAAUUCCAGGUGUAGCGGUGAAAUGCGUAGAUAUCGAGAGGAACACCAGUGGCGAAGGCGAGUCUCUGGACGACUCCUGACACUGAGGCACGAAAGCUAGGGGAGCAAACAGG
rnacentral:rRNA from 1 species